rnacentral:rRNA from 1 species
AUUGAACGCUGGCGGCAGGCCUAACACAUGCAAGUCGAGCGAGCGGCGGACGGGUGAGUAAUGUAGGGGGACUGCCCGAUAGAGGGGGAUAACUACGGGAAACGGUGGCUAAUACCGCAUACUAUCGGAUAACCCAUAGGGGAUUAGCUAGUAGGUGGGGUAAAGGCUCACCUAGGCGACGCUCUCUAGCGUGUCUGAGAGGGUGAUCAGCCACACUGGGACUGAGACACGGCCCAACCUCCUACGGAGGCAGCAGUGGGGAAUAUUGCACAAUGGGGGAAAGCCUGAUGCGGCCAUGCCGCGGGUUUGAAGAGGGCCUUAGGUUGGUAAGGUACUUUCAGCGGGGAGGCGUUACCCACAGAGAAAGCAACGGCUAACUCCGUGCCAGCAGCCGCGGUAAUAC